rnacentral:lncRNA from 1 species
GUUGCAAGCUUUUAGCUGUGCUUCCAAUUUGUCAAGAUUCAAUACUUCUUUCCUUUCUGAGGUAUGACAGAGUACAAUAGUAUGGUACAAGUGCAAGAAGGUUAAGGCAGUAGUAGCUUUAAAUUCAAAGUGCAACUUUUCUGAAAUUAUCUUUUCCAUCCGUUUCAGGUCGGACACAGUGCAUUUACAUUGGCUGAUCCGGAUAAUCUCAUGAGCAGAUGGAAUAUUGCAUUCUUCUUCAACCACUUGGGCAGCCAGUUGAAAACAACAAACUCCAAUGCAAGACAAAUGCUUCGGUUUCACCUUCAUGAGAGCCAGGAAUCUGUCCAGGAUGUUAACAGCCAAAACAAACGUUUCAGUUGCAAAGCCAAAGAAGUUGGUCAGACUCCAGAGAUCUUCCACCUUGGCAUUCCUUUGUCUCGGGCACAGAGCGUUUUCAUUCUCGGCCGCGCACUCGAUGAGGCUGAGCCCCCUCUCGCGGGGCUGGAAGCGGCCCUCCAGCUCCAGGUGGAGGUUCAGCUGCCGGAACAGCCGCAGCGCCUCGCUGCCCAUCUCCGGGCCGGCCGGCCGGGCGGCGGCGGCGGCCCCCGGCGGCGCGGACAAAGGGAACCGGGCGCCCGCCCCUCGCCGGGGGGCGAUCCCGCAGCGCCGGGGACGCGAACCGCGGGCCCCGGGGGCUCCUCGGCGGCAGGGAGAGGGAGCCCGGUUCCCGUCACCGCACGGACGCGGGUGGGCUCCCCCGCGGGCACCGCAUCCAGGCAGGGCGGCCCGCGCCCCCGCCGGCGGCCGGCCCCGCUCGCCGCCCCGCAGCGAGUCACGGCGCUGCCCGCGGCACCGUCACCAUCCCCGGCCCCGCGGAGCUGCCGCUGCCGCCGCCGCCGCCCCGGCCCCGCAUCAAAAUGGAGGCGGCGCGGCCCCG